rnacentral:rRNA from 1 species
UACGUAGGGCGCAAGCGUUGUCCGGAAUUAUUGGGCGUAAAGAGCUCGUAGGUGGCUUGUCACGUCGGGUGUGAAAGCUUGGGGCUUAACUCCAGGUCUGCAUUCGAUACGGGCUGGCUAGAGGUAGGUAGGGGGAGAACGGAAUUCCUGGUGUAGCGGUGAAAUGCGCAGAUAUCAGGAGGAACACCAGCGGCGAAGGCGGCGCUCUGGGCCGGUACUGACACUGAGGAGCGAAAGCGUGGGUAGCAAACAGG